rnacentral:rRNA from 1 species
UGANCGCUGAGGUUGGUACUUGUACCGACUGGAUGAGCAGCGAACGGGUGAGUAACGCGUGGGGAAUCUGCCUUUGAGCGGGGGACAACAUUUGGAAACGAAUGCUAAUACCGCAUAAAAACUUUAAACACAAGUUUUAAGUUUGAAAGAUGCAAUUGCAUCACUCAAAGAUGAUCCCGCGUUGUAUUAGCUAGUUGGUGAGGUAAAGGCUCACCAAGGCGAUGAUACAUAGCCGACCUGAGAGGGUGAUCGGCCACAUUGGGACUGAGACACGGCCCAAACUCCUACGGGAGGCAGCAGUAGGGAAUCUUCGGCAAUGGACGAAAGUCUGACCGAGCAACGCCGCGUGAGUGAAGAAGGUUUUCGGAUCGUAAAACUCUGUUGGUAGAGAAGAACGUUGGUGAGAGUGGAAAGCUCAUCAAGUGACGGUAACUACCCAGAAAGGGACGGCUAACUACGUGCCAGCAGCCGCGGUAAUCNUAGGUCCCGAGCGUUGUCCGGAUUAAUUGGGCGUAAGCGAGCGCAGGUGGUUAUUAAGUCUGGUGUAAANGCAGUGGCUNU